rnacentral:rRNA from 1 species
GAUGAACGCUGGCGGCGUGCCUAAUACAUGCAAGUCGAGCGAACGGACGAGAAGCUUGCUUCUCUGAUGUUAGCGGCGGACGGGUGAGUAACACGUGGAUAACCUACCUAUAAGACUGGGAUAACUUCGGGAAACCGGAGCUAAUACCGGAUAAUAUUUUGAACCGCAUGGUUCAAAAGUGAAAGACGGUCUUGCUGUCACUUAUAGAUAGAUCCGCGCUGCAUUAGGUAGUUGGUAAGGUAACGGGUUACCAAGGCAACGAUGCAUAGCCGACCGGAGAGGGUGAUCGGCCACACUGGAACUGAGACACGGUCCAGGCUCCUACGGGAGGCAGCAGUAGGGAAUCUUCCGCAAUGGGCGAAAGCCUGACGGAGCAACGCCGCGUGAGUGAUGAAGGUCUUCGGAUCGUAAACCUCUGUUAUUAGGGAAGAACAUAUGUGUAAGUAACUGUGCACAUCUUGACGGUACCUAAUCAGAAAGCCACGGCUAACUACGUG